rnacentral:rRNA from 1 species
ACUGAACGCUGGCGGCAUGCCUUACACAUGCAAGUCGAACGGCAGCACGGACUUCGGUCUGGUGGCGAGUGGCGAACGGGUGAGUAAUGCAUCGGAACGUACCCGGUAGUGGGGGAUAACUACCCGAAAGGGUGGCUAAUACCGCAUAUACUGUGCGCAGGAAAGCAGGGGACCUUCGGGCCUUGUGCGACCGGAGCGGCCGAUGUCAGAUUAGGUAGUUGGUGGGGUAACGGCCUACCAAGCCUGCGAUCUGUAGCGGGUCUGAGAGGAUGAUCCGCCACACUGGGACUGAGACACGGCCCAGACUCCUACGGGAGGCAGCAGUGGGGAAUUUUGGACAAUGGGCGCAAGCCUGAUCCAGCCAUGCCGCGUGAGUGAAGAAGGCCUUCGGGUUGUAAAGCUCUUUCGGACGGAAAGAAAUCGCGCAGGCUAAUACCCUGCGCGGAUGACGGUACCGUCAUAAGAAGCACCGGCUAACUACGUGCCAGCAGCCGCAGUAA